rnacentral:lncRNA from 1 species
UGCAGAUUGGCCUUGGGGACAGCCAGGUGGUUCUGAAAUUCCAUUUUAAAGUGAUAGCUGAUAGAUCACUGCAUUUGACCCUCAUUCAUAGCGCCCAAGUCUGUGGCACAGAUGGAUCCUUCACUGCCAGGAUGGUCGGGGCUCAGCCCCGGAUGCCAAGAGCACUCGCUUCACGUCAUGCAAUUGUUCUGAGGGUACGUAAAGGAAGCCAGAGGAGUGUGCUUCAGAAGGCCGGAGAGCGGUGCACUUGCUCUACACAGCUGUAGGUCCAGGUGACACAGGACAUUUUGUACCUUCAUGGAGUUUCAUACACUCAGAGAGAAGGGGAAAAUAAGUCUACACGGACCUGGCCACUGUUGGAUUUUGAAGACCUCAGAGGUAUUGAGUUUUGAAAAGAAGAGCAACAGAUGGCACAGAUAUAUCUGGGAGAAAGGUACAACUGGGGUGAAUUUCACUGCAGAGGAAUUUCUUGACUUGCAUCAGACUCUUUGAAAGAUCCCUGACCAAGGCUUGGAAAUGUACUGCUCCAGGGACCACUGACUCUCCACAACUGAUCAGAGCUGGUAGCUCCCCAGAACUGGGCAUCAUGGUGGUACUGCCUUGAUUCCAAGCAGUUGGAGAAUGUUGACCCUGCCUCUGUGUUCCUGCCUCUCCACUGUUCUGCAAUCCCGGAUCACUUUCUGUGCCUUCUGAAU